UAACCAAAAGCACAAUACGCUUAAAUCAAUGUUCCUACGACUGGUUUAGCGUACGUACCGAUCUCUCCCCUCUGUCGUUUGCCAUAGGGCGCAGUCUCAAGAAUCUCAUAGGCCUGCAGAAGUGGGAGCCAAUAUUAGAACUCACAAAAUUGUGAGAAAUUGAAAAUGGCAAAACAUAGUCAAACAAAUAACUAGCAAGACAAAACAAAAAACCUUACCACUCUUGUUCUCUCCACAUCUGUGAAGUAUGAAUCUGGAUCAUCACUACCGAUAAAUCUGGAAAACACAACGACCAUCAUAAGCGAGUUUGUAAGUCAAUCAUACAAAAUAAUACAAAAUAUCAACUUCCAAAAUGUGGUAAAAAUAGAUGCAAAGAACUAAAGCUUAAUAAACAUUGCGAACCAAACAUUAUUAACACAAAGUUUUCAAGCACCUAAAAGUGACAACAUUCAAUAAUGAGCAUUAAUGUUUACGCUUGUAUUAAAAAAAAGCUGUGUUUUUAUAUUGCGUUACAACUGCGUUACUGGCUUAUGUAGUUGUGUGACACUAAGUCAAUGAUUUAGCAGUGAUCCAGAGUUAGCUGUACGAGGCUUGAAAUAAUAGACAGGGAGUUCCUGACAGAGGUUAAAAAGCCAUUGUUGUAUGGAGAUUAGCCGAAAUCGGAAGACAAUAAAGGCUGGCGUUUCGCAUCAGGAGGGCUGAACAAAUGAACAAAUAUAUUCUUUCCAAGUUUUUCGUGUGUUUGGCUUUGGAGCUUUUGAAGACCGUCACUUGAAGCUUUGUAGACUCGAUACGUUUAUGAGUUUCAACUCUCGCUUUGAUAAUCGCCAUUUUGAGUCUAGUGGACAUGUUUCGCUUUUGACACAGUAGAAAGACCACAGACAAGCUGUAGAACAACAAAGUGGUCUGCAAAUAACGUGUUAUGGGAAGAAGGAAAUAAAUCAACACAUGGCUGCAGUUUUAUGUUGAACGCCUAUCUGAGAACGACGUUUCGAGCAUAAGACUUAUAAGUCUUUCUGCUUUCAUACAACAAUUCAAUCGUGUUGGUUUAUUUCACUUAUGCUUUAAUGUACUCUAGUUCGAUUAUCUUUCAGUUUGAUUUUGGCACGAGUUAUGUACGUAGUUAUAAUCUUCGCCAGCCUUACUUGUUUAGCUUAUUGGCCUGGAAGGUACAAGUGAAGAAAUCUGGAGGAGGGUUAGGAACUUCCUCUUUGAAGAUGUUGGGCAUGUGGAACUUUUCCAGCAUCCGCUCCGACCAGUUCACUUUUCUGGUAGUACGAAGCUGUAGGUAUGAAAAAUAGACACCGUCAAAACGUAGGUGAUUUUCUGUUGAACAUCUUUUCAUUUUUGUCUCUUUUCAUGUUUGGGGUUUGUACCCCCCCUCCCUUUUUGGUCAUGUGCCCGCCUUGACGUGUUAAGUCCUACCUCAAGGGGGGCCCUGAAGCUCAGUUCUUCGGCAUAAAAAAGCAACACUUCCCAUGGGACAUGAAUUUUUAUGAAGUGUAGCUUCACUUUUUUGUCUUGGGUUAUUUCCUAAAAGGGAACAAUUAAAAAAAGGUGAGUUAGGGCCUACAAUUCAUAGAUCCAACAUGUCAAUCACGCGCGCAAGAAUAGCCAAUCAGGAAAGAGAUGACGCAAUAACAGCCAUGGGGUCCCACAAAUGUCCCACAAAAAGUCGGCAAUCGACGCAAAAAGAUUGGUUUGAGAUAUUUUUCUGCGAAUCUGGACAAGCAAAGUAAGGAUCUUCCGGUCAGCGUAGAAAGUGAUAUUCCUGUUUUCUUUGGCCGGCCACUUUUAGUGUAGAGUUGGGACUCAAAUUGCAGAAAAACACAUAAAUUUCUGCGAAGAAACGAAAAACAAAAAACAAACAAACCACAUAUACAAGAACAGUGUAAGUCCUACCAUUAAAAUUGUGUUUGAUAUUAUCCUAGGUUACUUCAACUAUAAAUAAGAAUGAUAAGACUGUCAUUUGUAUUAUUGCUGUAAAUCUUGACAUUUGCUGAUAAAACUUGUAGUUAAAAGUCAGGCGUAAACAGCGAAUUCGGCAUUCUCUUCUACUUUUCCCCGCACUUAAAUCACUGCAAGUUGACAAAAUUAGGUUUGAAAGCACAUAAACACAUAGUACCUACCAAAGAGAGCACCACUUUACCUUAUCAUUUCCAAGUUUUCGUAUUUCGAGCUGGAUUCCGGUAGUUUCCAUUCAACAACCAAACUUGUAGUUGUCUAUUUCUACGCUUCUCUACAAGAUUUUCACCAAACUUGGACCACAAAUCAAUUUCUAUCAUGUUAGGUGACCUUCUUUUAUAUCCCAAGUCGCAGGAAAACCCCUAUAAGCGUCUAUAUUUUAGAUAAUCCCGAGCAGGAUUCACAGACCUUAACUGACAUGUAGUACAAUUUGUGGGACUUUUGUGGGACAUUUGGGUUGCACUUCGCUGGCUUCUAUUUGCUGCUUUCUGAUUGGUUAUUUGUGCGCUCGUCGGGUCUAUGAAUAGCAAAGUGCCUUGUAUACGGAGUCAGUUAGGGCCUACAGCGACCCUUACCCUAACCUAACCCAACAGCAAAGUGCUUGUAUACACCUUUUUCAUUAAACGUUGUCAGGGUAAAUGGUGAAUGGCAAUUGUGAAAAUGGCAGUUAUAAGAACAAUCACUGCUCAUGGGUAUAAUUAUUUGUAAGAAUAAGAAAUAUAAUUGCAUAAGUUACCCACAUUUUCCUACAUUUAGUAGAAGUUUGUUGAUAGCAGAACUGCCAUUUAACAAUUGACAUAUUAAAAAAAGGCAAAAUACCAAUUUUACAAACCUCCUCGAAUUCAAGUUGGGACUUGGCAAGAUUCUCCAAGAACUUCUGUCUGUAUUCAAUUGAUUGAGGUGGAGGAUCUUUUUCUCCCUCUUCAUACACUAAAACAAAGUCUGAAACAAAAACAUGCAAGGUCUUUAUCAGUAAUUUCCCUGUAGUCUAGAGUGGAACUGUGUAAAAUUUUUUUAUGGUGGAGAUUUCCAGUCUCUGAAUUUUUAUGACACAUCAAAAUACAAAGGGAAUAUUAGCAUUUGGAAAUAGAAUCAUAGUGCAACAAUGACAAUGAUACAUUUACAGCGAAAUAUCUUUUAAUGAGAACGCCAUAGGAGUCAAUGCUGUCUUCAUGAUGUAUUGGUGUUAUUAUUAGGCAGGAUAAAAUCUAGAAAAAUGCUUUGAGCUAUGUAUUUUUCAUGGAACCUCGCUUCUCUGAUAAUGAACAGAUGUUUCUUACAGCAGUUCUUACCGAUUUGUCUUUUCCCAUCUCUGAAGAAGCACCCCCUCUCUCCACUCAUGUCCUCAUCAUCGACACUCUAAACGCAAAAAUUGACAACAAAAUUGAACAAUUUAAUAAACGAUAACCAUAGGAACAAAAUGAUAAUAUGAAAUUUCAAUUUUUGCACCAGCACUGUAUAAUAACCAUGAACAGCAAAAUUUGAUUCAAUUUAUUAUGUGCCAUUUGCAUUCGUCUUUUUAAUAUUUCAUACAAGAGACAUAAAACCAUUCCAUUUUAUUCAAUUUUCUGUUUCUUUUCGUUGUUUUAUUUAAUUUAAUUUUUAAAUCAAUAUCAUUUCAUUUAUACAUCAACACUUUUAUAAGAUGGUGAAAUAAAGUAGUUCAAUAGAUGCUAAAGUUUACACAAGAUAUCAUGUGGGGCUAUUUUUUAAUGUAUGUAAACCAUUACUACACCACACAUGCAACAAGAGUGAGCUAGAUGACAAA